rnacentral:rRNA from 1 species
UUACUGGCUCAGGAUGAACGCUAGCUACAGGCUUAACACAUGCAAGUCAGGGGCAGCAUGUUGGUUGCUUGCAACCGAUGAUGGCGACCGGCGCACGGGUGAGUAACGCGUAUCCAACCUUCCCCUUAGUAGGGCAUAGCCCGUAGAAAUGCGGAUUAAUACCCUAUGUUCUUCGAAGCGGUCAUCCAAUUUGAAGCAAAGAUUCAUCGCUAAGGGAUGGGGAUGCGUCCGAUUAGGUUGUUGGCGGGGUAACGGCCCACCAAGCCAUCGAUCGGUAGGGUUCUGAGAGGAAGGUCCCCCACAUUGGAACUGAGACACGGUCCAAACUCCUACGGGAGGCAGCAGUGAGGAAUAUUGGUCAAUGGGCGAGAGCCUGAACCAGCCAAGUAGCCGUGCAGGAUGACGGCCCUAUGGGUUGUAAACUGCUUUUAUCAGGGGAUAAAGUGGCCCACGUGUGGGUUUUUGUAGGUACCUGAUGAAUAAGGACCGGCUAAUUCCGUGCCAGCAGCGGC